UGCUCCAGGGAGGGCCGCCCGGGCCUACCCUGCCUGGGCGCAGCUAGGCAAACUGAUGCGGUCCGGACCGGGUGACCAUGGCGGUGUUUCAUGACGAGGUGGAGAUCGAGGACUUUCAAUAUGACGAGGACACAGAGACGUAUUUCUACCCCUGCCCCUGUGGGGAUAACUUCUCCAUCACCAAGGAAGAUUUGGAAAAUGGAGAAGAUGUGGCAACGUGUCCUAGCUGCUCACUCAUUAUAAAAGUGAUUUAUGACAAAGUAAGGGGUCUAUUAAAAGGGAUGGGUGGUGUGAGCUAAUGACAAAGGCCUAAAGCAGCCUGUCUGAUAUAAAAGUGUGGAAGAGUGUUGGGUGUUUGUUUGUUUGUUUGUUGAGACAGGGACUUUAUGUAGCCCUGGCUGUACUGGGACUCACUAUGUGGACCAGGCUGGCCUUGAGUUCACAGAGAUUUGCCUGCUUUGCAUCACAAAAGCUGGGAUUAUAGGUAUACACCACCACACCCAGCCUAGAAGAGUGUUUCUUAACCCUGUGCUAAACGAAGGGCUAUUUUUACAAAGCCUUUAAAAAUUGCCAGUAACUGUUUGCUAAUCUUGUUCAAGUUUAAAUUAUGUAACUUAUGAUCACUUUGGAAGGAGCAAUAAAGAAAUUGCUUUGUAAUGAAAUUGGCGACUUAAUCAGGAAUAAAAAAUUAUCAUGAAGGUUAUUUCAUUGAUGUUCUUCCUUUUGAGAUUUCUCGUGCAUUUAAUAUUUAGUUUAGUUUGUUCAGAGCUCUAGGACAUUUUUAGAAGAUUGCAUGAUAUUGAUUGCCUGGCUUAUGUAUAGAAUCUACCCAGUUUGAGAUAUAAUUCCUGGAUGCAGUGUUACAGUUUCAUGUUCCUUUGUAUCCAGUAAGAAUGGCAAUAGGAAAGGGGUAAAUGCCUUUAUUUCCCACCCAAAGUUUAGGUAGAGCUUUGGAGUCUGAAGGGUAAAUUCUAAAAUGAGUGUUGGACAAAACACAGAACUUUGUGGGAGAAGCUGUUAUUAAUUUAGACAAUAAAAUGUAAUGAUUCAUUUUUAUAUUAAAAUGGUUUAUGGGACAAAGACCAACAGGGACAGGCUAGGGGCUGACUCUGUGGGGGAUCACUCUGUAGGAGAUGUGCAGUGACUGGGAAAGUUCUUGUGGUCGCUGGAAUAAGCCAGGAUGAAAGAUCAGAGCCUGGACUUCAUUUACAAAUAAUUACUAUUGGAGGUCUGUGUUGGGAAACACAGAGACAUUCUUUUUAUUACUCAUUUGAAGAGCUUAUGUAUUUGAAUGACCAGAUAUUGAACUGAUUAAUGUAAAACCUUGGAAGGCGUGACAUGUUUAUUUCUGGGAACUGGUGGCUCCCUAGUUAAGAUAUUUAUGUGACACUGCUUAUUAACUAGUGGCCUUAGGGCUAAACACCAGCAUACUUUUAGACACCAGUUCUCUGUACAAAAAUAAAGCGUUAUUGGGUCUGGGGAGAUGGAUUAGUGGCUAAGAGCUUCCAAAGGAGUGGGCAUUUACAUCUUCCACAUGGGGGCUUCCAGCCACCUGCAACUCCAGUCCUAGGGAAUCUGGUGCCCUCCUCUUCCCUCACAGGCACCCACACACAUGUGGGGUACACGCAUACACAUAAGUAAAAAAGAAAAAUAAGUCUUUAAAAUGUUCCUUUGUCUCCAGUUGUGCCAACUGGGAUAGCUACUGAUAUCUAUUGGAUAGAUCGAGGGCUACAAUCAUACAGCACACAGCUCAUCUCUGAACAACAGUUAGUUCUUGGUACAUAAGACUUAAACUUUGUAAUCUAAGUUUGUUGGCAUUUUUAUAAUAUUAUGAAUGGAUUUUUCCCCAAAUUUUCACAUCUUGAUUUUUUUUCAUUGCUAGCAUUAAAAGAAAGAAAGAAGGAAAGAAAGUAAGGUGACAGAACAGGGAAAACUAUAGCCAGAUUGAUUCUGUAACAAAGGAAAGUGAUGCUAAUGCAUUUGUGGCACAAAGAGCUGGUGGCCAAUAGCAUUUCUUCUUCUUCUUAGGAUCAGUUCAUGUGUGGAGAAACAGUCCCAGCUCCUUCAACCAACAAAGGGUUAGUUAAGUGCUGAGGACGCUCUCAGAACCCACAUCCAGAACAGCGGGGGCUGAGCCCAGGUGGCUGGAUCCGGUGCAGAGUUACCAACCUCCUCAGUGGGCAACUAUCCUGUGGAUGGCCUCAUGGGUGUGAUCUACAUCAGCCACUGACCUCGGCGUGAAGAAGUGAGCCUGUGACACAUCAGCCCUGGAUUCCAUGCUUACCUGACUGGCAGGAUUCCUCUCUGUCCAUCUGAAUUUAAGGAAGAGCCCUGUGAACUGAUGGUUUUUCCUUCAAUUGGUUGCAUCAUUUGAAUAUCUGAAAAUUCAUUUUCUGAAAAUAACAUCAUCCGCUCAGUCCUGAGA
rnacentral:lncRNA from 1 species